UGGGGAAUAUUGCACAAUGGGCGAAAGCCUGAUGCAGCAACGCCGCGUGAGUGAUGAAGGUCUUCGGAUUGUAAAGCUCUGUCUUUUGGGACGAUAAUGACGGUACCAAAGGAGGAAGCCACGGCUAACUACGUGCCAGCAGCCGCGGUAAUACGUAGGUGGCGAGCGUUGUCCGGAUUUACUGGGCGUAAAGGGUGCGUAGGCGGAUGUUUAAGUGAGAUGUGAAAUACCCGGGCUUAACUUGGGUGCUGCAUUUCAAACUGGAUAUCUAGAGUGCAGGAGAGGAGAAUGGAAUUCCUAGUGUAGCGGUGAAAUGCGUAGAGAUUAGGAAGAACACCAGUGGCGAAGGCGAUUCUCUGGACUGUAACUGACGCUGAGGCACGAAAGCGUGGGUAGCAAACAGGAUUAGAUACC
rnacentral:rRNA from 1 species